UACGUAGGGUGCGAGCGUUGCUCGGAAUCACUGGGCGUAAAGGGUGCGUAGGCGGGUCUUUAAGUCAGGGGUGAAAUCCUGGAGCUCAACUCCAGAACUGCCUUUGAUACUGAAGAUCUUGAGUUCGGGAGAGGUGAGUGGAACUGCGAGUGUAGAGGUGAAAUUCGUAGAUAUUGGGAAGAACACCGAUGGCGAAGGCAGCCAUCUGGACCGACACUGACGCUGAGGCGCGAAAGCGUGGGGAGCAAACAGG
rnacentral:rRNA from 1 species